AAAUAGAAUAAAAUUGAUAACAACAAAAUAAUAAUUGAAAACAGAACAAUAUUCGUUAUUAUAAUCUCUCAAGCAUUCUCGAACAUUCCUCAAAUGACAAAGUCUUUGAGCCAUCCUGGUUUCUUUCUCGCGCGAGCUGAACCUGUCUUGAGCUGCUCUCUAGCUUGUGUCUCAUUCACGGGUUGGACUUCUUCCAUUUCUGCAGGCUGGGUCUCUUCCCUUGCUGUCUCAUUGUGCUCGAUCUGAUUCACAACAAUUGGCCAGGUUGUAUCAUUCCCCAUUCCUUGAAAGCUUACCUUGUCCUCAAGGUGUAGUGCAGGGUAGAGUUUACGAAAUUCCUCAAAGUCCUCCCAAGUUGAAUUUUCUGGUGAGCUAUCAGACCAUAUUUGUGGAAUUUCUUUGCCUUGUCGAAGUAUCUUUCGCUCAGCACAUACUGCAAUUGGUGAUGACAGGGGCUUGUUAUCCACACUUCCUGGAGGCAGUGAAUAAACAUCAAUGGGGGAGUUUCCCACAUAAGGUUUUAGUAAGGAAAUAUGGAACACCGGGUGAAUUCUACAAUUUGUGGGUAACUCUAACUUGUAAGCAACGGGUCCAAUACGCUCUACCACUGUGAACGGUCCAUAAUAGCGCCUUGCCAGCUUAUGAGAUGAGCGCUUAGCAACUGAUGUCUGGCGAUAUGGCUGAAGGUGCACCAACACUUUAUCACCUACCUGCAAUUGAGUUUCUCGGCGAUGUAAAUUAGCCUUUUGAGCCAUUCGAUGCUGAGCUUGUCGUAAGUUCUCUUUCAAUGAGCAAAGCAUGGCAUCCCUCUCAAUUAACAUGUCUUCUAAAGCUUGGAUUGAAGUAGAGCCCCUUGAGUAACUUGGAAUUGUGGGAGGAAAACGACCAUAAAGGGCUUGAAAGGGAGUCAUUCGCAAGCUGCUGUGAUAACUGGUAUUGUAGCAAAAUUCAGCCCAGCCUAAAAAUGAAGACCAUGUCUGUGGCUUGUCUUGUGAGAAGGCUCGUAAAUAUUGCUCAAGCCCUCGAUUAACUACUUCGGAUUGACCAUCCGUUUGGGGGUGGUAAGCCGUGCUGUGCCGUAACUGUGUACCACUUAAAUCAAACAAUUUCUGCCAAAAGUUGCUCAUGAAUAUAGGAUCACGAUCUGAAAUUAUAGAGCUAGGAAAUCCAUGUAAUUUUACAACCAUGUCAGCAAAUAAAGCUGCUGUUUUGAUGGCAGUAAAUUGAGAAGGCAAGGCUCCAAAGUGAGCUGACUUUGAUAAACGAUCCACAACAACCAGAAUUGCUUCAAAUCCUCUCGAAAGUGGCAGCCCUGUAAUGAAAUCCAUGGUUAACUCAUCCUAAACUAAUGAAGGGACAGGCAAGGGUUGUAAUAGACCCGCCGGCGCUUGAGUUGAGUAUUUAAUUUGCUGGCAAACAAGGCAAGCAGCUACAUGUUGCUCAACAUCUUCCCUCAUCUUAGGCCAAAAGAAAGUCGAUGAAAGACGUACCAAUGUCUUUUUAAUACCAGCAUGGCCUGCCAUAGGUGUCUCGUGAAACUCUUUGAGUAGCACGGCUUUUAAUGAUGAGUUGGGGCUGAGGUAAUAUCGAUGUCGAAAUAGCAGGAACCCUUCUUGAACUGAGAAGGCAGAAGAAAGUGAACCGGCUGCAUACCUCUGAUGGAGUUGUUUCAUAUCAGAAAGAGAGCAAUUUUCCUUGUGCAGAUUUGUCAAUAGUUCACUAGAAGGUUGGCUUACAAACGACAAACAGAGAGUUGUUGGUUUGGGUUCUUCAGUCACGUUGUCCCUAUGAAUUCGCGAUAAAGCAUCAGCAGCUUUAUUGAAGGUACCAGCUUUAUAAUUGAUUCUGAAUUGAUAUCCCAUCAACUUACGAAUGUAAAAUUGCUGCUCUGGGGUGUGAAUAACUUGUUGAAAUAGAUCCUUUAUGCUUUUAUGGUCAGUUCGUAUAAGGAAAAAUCUGCCAAGGAGGUAUUGACGCCAUUUUUGAACUGCAGCUACAAUAGCACAUAAUUCCUUCAAAUAUGUUGAGGAUGCACGCAUUCGAGGACCCAACGUUUUGCUAAAAUAAGAUAGCGGAUGCCCGACUUGCAUUAGCACAGCACCGAUCCCGACAUUAGAAGCAUCGGUCUCAAUGACAAACUCCAAGGCAAAAUUCGGCAAGUGUAGUACAGGGGCUUCCACAAGAGCCUUCUUUAAUGCUUGAAAAGCUUGAGUAGCUGCCAGGUUCCAAUGAAAAGCCUCCUUACAAAGCAACUCAGUGAGAGGAGCUGCGAUGGUUGCAUAGCCUUGAAUAAAACGUCGGUAGUACCCUGUCAGCCCCAAGAACCCUCUCAGUUGCUUGACCGAUUUAGGCAAGGGCCAAUCUACCAUGGCUGUGAUCUUUUGCGGAUCAGCAUGCACUCCUCGAGCCGACACAAUAUGGCCCAAAUAAUCAAAUGAUUCCUGACAAAAUAAACAUUUGGAGAAUUUGACAUAAAAUUGAGAUGUGUAUAAACAACUCAUGACCUGCUCCAAAUGAUGCACAUGUUCAGCCAAUGAUGCACUAUAGACCAAGAUAUCAUCAAAAAAGAUAAUAACAAAUUUACGUAAAAAGGAAGCGAAUAGUUGGUUCAUUGUUGCUUGAAAAGUGGACGGCGCGUUGGUCAAACCGAACAGCAUAACAAGAAACUCGUAGUGUCCAUCAUGCGUGUGAAACGUUGUUUUAUAAGUAUCCCUCUUGUGAACUCUUAUCUGGUGAUAACCGGCUCUUAGAUCAAGUUUGCUGAAAAUCCUAGCACCGCCAAGUUCGUCAAAUAGUUCAUCAAUGGUGGGGAUGGGAAAUUUGUCCUUCACCGUCACCGCAUUCACAGCGCGGUAAUCCACACAGAAUCUGUAUGAGCCAUCCUUUUUUCUUUACUAGCAUUACCGGCGAAGAAAACGGGCUUUGGCUGGGUUUUAUGAUGCCUUGAUUUAACAUUUCUCUCACCAAUUUCUCCAUUUCGGUUUUCUGAAAAUAAGGAUACCGAUAGAGGCGAACGUUGACUGGUUUGGAAUUGGGAAUGAGGUGUAUUUUGUGAUCAAAUAGCCGGUGAGGGGGAAGCCCAGUGGGUGGAGCAAAUAAUGCCUUAAAUUUUUUUAGGAGAGUAGUAAUUGGUUCAGGCAACGACCUCAGAAAUUCGAAGUCAUUAUCCGGCAAUGUGUUGGUAGAUGUGUGAGUGGCUGAUGGCUCAGUUGGUAAAGAAUGAAGUUCAAAUAAGCUGUCGAUUUUGGAGUUAGAUAGCAAGGCAUGAAACUGGUUAAAAGAGAUUAAAUUCGGGUUUGGAAUUGGGUCUCCCCGUAAAAUGACAGAUUUUCCCUCCCAUUGAAACUCCAUCGUCAUCUCGGAGUAAUCCGUAGAAAUUCUUCCCAAGCUUUGUAACCAUUGAAUCCCAAGGACAACAUCAGGGCCUUCGAUUGGCAAAAGGAAGAAAUCCAAAAGAAAUUCAUGCCC
rnacentral:lncRNA from 1 species